GGGUGGUAAUGUCGCGAUCGGCAGGCUUCUUGUUGUUGCUUGUGACGGUAGCGGUGACGUUACGAUCAGAUGCGUCGAAGGGGACGUUGUUGUCGUGGCACCACCGGGCUAUAAGGUUCUUCAGGGCGCGGUUGGGGACGAGCUCGAGGUGGGCGAGCGACUGGCCGGACUUGGGGCAGGUGGCGUGUCCGGAGCCGAUCCACCGGACAAUGGGCUCUCGGUCGUACGUCUGCCCGGUGGCCACCACCACCGGGUCCCGCAUCAGGUCCAGCGAGAUUGGGCACCGGAAGUCCGCCGGCACCGUGAUGUUCUCCAACGCGGAGGACGAUUGUUUACCGCCUGCGGCGGCAGAAGAGUCAGACCUCGGAAUCGAGGCGCCGAAGAGGACGCACUUGGCGUAGCGGAGGAUCCCAGCGAGCGCCACCAUGACGGGCGCCCACCUAUGGUCGGCGGCGCAAUCACCGAUAUCGCGCUCGAGGCGGUCGAUCUCACGGCCGCAGCUCCUGGAGUCAUCGAGGCCGAGCCGCAGGAAGAUCCCCUGCAGCGCGUCCCGAUCGGGUACCGCCCCUCUCUCGAUUUCAGCGAUGAGCUCGAGGACGUCCCGGCGGAGGGAGAGAGCGGCGGGUUCGACGGCGGUGGAGGAGCGGCGGAACUGGCGGAGGAGGAGGCGGACGAGGUCCCUCACGUCCUCAGAGACCGGAAGCUCCGCCAACGGGAGGAUGUCAAGCAGGGUGGCGAGGUCGACGACUUGCUCGUGGAGCUCGGCGGCGAGGCGCUCGGCCCGGAAGAGGUGGAAGGCGCGGCUGCGGCCGGAGCUGUCGUGAAAGAGUGCCUUGACACGGUGGAAGACAAGAAACAUCUCGCGAAAGCAGAGCGAAGCCGAGCGCGGCAUCGCAAAGUCGCAGCCUCGCGUGUGCUGAAGGAGCUCCUCGAAGAGAAGAGAAAGCUGUUUGAAGUUGCGGGGGACGGAGGAGAAGUUGUGACCGACGCGGAGCGAGGCGUGCCACGAUGGGGGCGGUGACGGGGAGACGUCACGGGAGAGCUGGAGAAGGUGGCGGAGGAGGUCGGGAUCUGGGUCGGGCGGGGAAGGAGGCGACGACGAGGGACGACGAGAGGGGGAGACGGCCAUG
rnacentral:lncRNA from 1 species